CACAGCACUCCCACAGGCCCAGGAAAAGCCUGCUGGCGGUGAGGGAGCACAGAAAUCGCCCUGGCCUAUCUCCCUGGUCCAGGCUGAAGUCCAGCAGAAACAGCAGCGAGUCAAAAUAAACAACCCUUGGAAUCCGAAGGCUGCCUCCUCCUACAGAAAGGCAGAAUACUCGUCGUCUGUGUUGCGGGCCCGGGAUGCGCGCCCUUCAGCGCACAGGCUCCCGCGGAGACCAGGGGAACUGCCUUCGAGUUGCUGGAACCUGCUUUGCUGGAAGCGCCUGAGAACUAUCACCCGGCCCCCAUCCCCGGUGGGGGUAGCCCUUAACCAGUGAUUGAUGGACGCAAACCUCCGAUUGCUCCAGCUCCCUUGCCCCCAGUGGCUACAAUGCUGUGAUAUUUCAGUAUUGCUGAAACAUAAAAUACGGAGGAAGGGGUAGGCGGUUAUAAAACCGGGGAGAUGCAGCUGACGCUUUGCUCAGGGUCUGAUCAAGCUCAUUCUGAUGACAGGCUGGGGCGGCAUUGCUAAAAACUGGAAGCUGGACUGCACGAGGGGCAGGUAUGGGGGGAUGGGGCUACAGUCUCUGCUUGGACCUGUCGGCUCUCCCAUCCACCUGGCUGCCGUGGCAGCUCUUGGAGUCUUGGCCCAGCAGUAACCAAGCCCCUAGAGCCCACCGUUAGAAGGCUUGAGACUCCUCUCCACAAUCCCUCUGACUUUUUUUCUUAAAUCUCUGGGCUCCCCUGCCAAUACUGAAAUGAAAACCUCUCUUCCCCGUCUGCCCUCCUCCCUCCUUCCACCUCCACACCCAGCCCAGGAGCCCCCGAUUUACAUAUAAAAACCCAGUUUUGCACUGUUCCCUCCUUCCAUGCAGCAGCCCCGACCUGGCUUUGGGACUCCAUUGAAAUAGUUGCACCAUGGGGCACCUGGGUGGCUCGUGGUUGAGUGUCUGCCUUUGGCUCAGGUGAUUCCGGGGUCCUGGGAUUGAGUCCCGCAUUGGGGUCCCCACAGGGAACCUACUUCUCCCUCUGCCUAUGUCUCUCUCUCUGUGUCUCUCGUGAAUAAAUAAAUAAAAUCUUAAAAAAGAAAUAGUUGUGCCCCUGGUGGGGGGUUCAAGCUGGGAAGAUGGAGCCAGAGAAUGAGGAAGCUCUGCCGGGCUUUUCCUAGCAGGCAGUGUAGACAUGGGAUGGUGUUAACUGGGCACCUGGACAAAGCUGCAGCCCGGGAGCCCAACAAGGGGGCCCCUGGAGUAACGGGCUGAUCGCGUGGCCUGGGUGAUGACCCAGGAGCUUUGGAAGUAGCACUGGAGAGGAGGGAAUCGCUGACCGAGAUUCAAGAAGGUUAGUCAACAGAAUGUGGUGGCUGGUGGGGGAGGAAAAGCCCUUGAGGAGAGCAGGUCCCCGUAGAAGGAGAAAUGAAGGACAGAGCCUGAGAGAGAGGGAUGGACAGGCAAUGGAGGGGGGCCAGGAGUUAUUAAAAGGAUUAUAGAAAGACACAGAAUGAUAGAGACUAAGAGUUGGAAAAGCAGCCAGAGAGAGUCAAUGAAACUCCUAGUGAGACUUCCUUUCUUCUAACUUCUUAUUUUGAACUAAUUUUAGACUCACAGAAAAGCUGAAAAAAAUAGUACAGAAAAUCCCCACAUACAGCUCACCCAGCUUCCCCUUCAGUUACUGCUUUACAUAACCGGGGCACAGUUGUCGGAACCGGGCCAUUCACGUCAGUGCUGUGCCACUAACUAAACUACAGACUUGGUUCAAAUCUCACCAGUUUCCUAGAGAUCCGGAGAGGGAUGAGUGUAAACACAUAGACACGGAGAGAGGUUGGGGUUAGACAGAGGU